rnacentral:rRNA from 1 species
UACGGAGGGUGCAAGCGUUGUUCGGAAUCAUUGGGCGUAAAGCGCGCGCAGGCGGUGGAAUCAGUCCAUGGGUGAAAUGCCGGAGCUCAACUCCGUGCCCGCCCAGGAUACUGUUUCACUGGAGACACGUAGAGGCUGGCGGAAUUCCGGGUGUAGCGGUGGAAUGCGUAGAGAUCCGGAGGAACUCCAAAGGCGCAAGCAGCUUCCUGGCCGAGGACUGACACUGAGGGACGAAAGCGUGGGGAGCAAACAGG